GCUAGUUGUGGCUCGGUGGUCAAGGCUUUGCAUUACAGAUGAGAAGGUCAUGUGAUCAAAUCUCAACACUGCCA